rnacentral:lncRNA from 1 species
GGCAGAUGGCAGGGUUAUUUUUUAUUUUUUGCUCCAUUGCACUGAAGUCACAUUUUCCUACCCAAGCUCUAAAAGCAUUCUGUGGUAUAAAAUCUGCCAUCAUCUGACCCACGCUACCGAAAUAAAGCAGCUCACUGCCGUCAUUCUCCCUGAAAAGUGCCUCUGUGUCAUGCGCCAGGACUGGUGGGGAGAGGCCUGGCCUGUUUAAAAACACUUCAUCAUAAUCCCCACAGCGUCCCCCAUCCUCUUAGCUCCCUGGGGGGCUGCUCGGGUUUCUCAGGCUGUUAUUACUGGAAUGUCAGCUGCUCUGCUUCCAGGCCAUCCACACAGACCUGCUCUGUCUUAGGCCUUCGCCGCCUCCGCUUAGCUCAUUUUACGAAAACACCAUUUCAAAGAUAAAUGCCAAUGUGGCCUGCUUUCCUGUCACUGUCUCUGUGUCCUCUGGCUUCCCACCCCUUGGCAUCAAUUGAUCCAUUAGGGCACCACUGCCACCCAGAGUCCUGUGGUGGUUAUGUGUCAUUGAUAUCUGUCUACAGAUGCAUACCCAGAAAGUGUGUGUGUCUUUAAUCCCUGCAUAUGAGAGGCAGAGACAGGUGGAUCUCUGAGUCUGAAGCCGGCUUGAGCUACAUACUAGAUAAUCUGGGCUACCCAGAGAAACCAUGUCUUAAAAACAAAAAAUAAAAUAAAUAUAAUAUAUAUGAAUGUGUAUGUAAGGCAUACAUAAGUUAAGUUGCAAAUGGACUUUCACAAUUUAGCUAGUACAGCUGCUCCUCCAUGUGUGUCGGAGUUACAUUCCAUGUUCUCAUCUUAAAUUGAAAAUAGCAAAAUAAAAAGUAUACUUAGGGCGCUGGGCAUGUAACACAUGCCUUUCAUCCCAACACUUUGAAAGCAGAGGCAGGGGAUCUCUGAGUUCAAGGCCAGCCUGGUUCACGUAGUGAGUUCCAGGACAGCCAGAGCUAUGCAGAGGAUACCCCAUUUAAAUGUGUGUGCGUAUGUGUGUGUGUGUAUAUAUACAAACAAUAUAUAAUUUAUAUAUUAUUUUAUACAUUAAUACAUUGCAAAUUAGGUAUAAGCAUUUAUAUAAUAUUUUAAUGUUAUAUGUAAAUAAAUACAUAGCAAUAUAAUAUUAUGUAUUUAGUAAUAUAAUAUUGUUAGUAUAAUAUUUUAUAUAAUUAUAUGGUAUAAAUAUUUAAUAUACAUAAAUUAUAAUUUUUAGAACAUAUGAUAUAUUUAUAUGGGCUGCAGAGAUAUCUGGGUAGGUAAAGUAAUUGCCCUGUAAAUGAGGGAUCCAGAGUUCAAAUCCCUAGAGCCCAUGUAAAGCUAGGCUCAGUAACACACGCAUCUGUAAUCAGUGGUAGAAUGGGAAGCAGAGACAGGAGAACCCCUGGAAGCUCUGUCUCAGACAAGAGGACUAACAUCCAAGGUUGUCCUCUGGCCUCCAGAUGAGCUGGGUGGCAUACGUGCAUCCACAAUCUUAUACACGAUGUACACAUACACAUUAUACAGACACAAAAAUGUCUUGUAAAAGUAUAGAUUUAAUACAGGUGGCCUACCCAACACUGUGGCUUUGCCCACUUACAUACAUUAGCCUAAUCAUUCAUGUAUUUAUAUAUAUAUAUAUAUGUGUGUGUGUGUGUGUGUGAAUACGUGUGUACACGCGCACACACACAUACGAAUGAAUGAAUAUCCUACAGGCUGUGCUGUGGUCCAGCUAGGCCAACAAUGGCUGUCUACCUUCAGAAAAUCCAAGAAUCCAGUAGUUAUUCAAUCCACAAGACUGGAUGUCCCAGCUGGUCUUCACUAUAUGCUGGAAUUCUAAAGAAUGUGUUAAUGCCCAUGAAGGAAUGGACUUCCCAGCAAGAACAAGAACAAGCAGGCAAAAAGAGGGCUUCCUUCUUCCAUGUUCUGUAUAUAGGCUACCAGCGGAAGGUGUGGCCCAGAUUAAAGGUGGGUCUUCCCACUUCAAAUGAUUUAAUU